CAUGGCUCAGGAUGAACGUUGGCGGCGUGCUUAAUACAUGCAAGUAGAACGCUGAAGCUUGGUGCUUGCACCGAGCGGAAGAGUUGCGAACGGGUGAGUAACGCGUAGGUAACAUGCCUCUUAGCGGGGGAAAACUAUUGGAAACGAUAGCUAAUACCGCAUAAAAGUCGGCAUUGCAUGAUGUUGACUUGAAAGGUGCAACUGCAUCACUAAGAGAUGGACCUGCGUUGUAUUAGCUAGUUGGUGAGGUAACGGCUCACCAAGGCGACGAUACAUAGCCGACCUGAGAGGGUGAUCAGCCACACUAGGACUGAGACACGGCCCAGACUCCUACGG
rnacentral:rRNA from 1 species